rnacentral:rRNA from 1 species
UGAUCCUGGUCAGAGCGACGCUAGCGGCGUGCUUACACAUGCAAGUCGAGCGAGAAAUGUGGCUUCGGCCCCUGAGUACAGCGGCGAACGGGUGCGUAAUACAUGAGCAAUCUAUCCUUGAGGCGGGAAUAACCCAGCGAAAGUUGGGCUAAUACCGGAUAAGACCACAAGAGGAAACUCUCGGGGUCAAAGGCCGCUCUCUUUUGGGGGCAGCCCUUCGAGGAGGAGCUCAUGUCCUAUCAGCUAGUUGGUAGGGUAACGGCCUACCAAGGCGAAGACGGGUAGCUGGUCUUAGAGGAUGAUCAGCCACACGGGGACUGAGACACGGCCCCGACUCCUACGGGAGGCAGCAGUGGGGAAUAUUGGGCAAUGGGCGAAAGCCUGACCCAGCGACGCCGCGUGGGUGAUGAAGGCCUUCGGGUCGUAAAGCCCUGUCGGGAGGAAAGAACGAUCGUGUGGUGAAUAGCCACACGAUGUGACGGUACCUCCGAAGGAAGCACCGGCCAAUUCCGUGCCAGCAGCCGCGGUAAGACGGAAGGUGCAAGCGUUGCUCGGAAUCACUGGGCGUAAAGGGUGCGUAGGCGGCUUCUUAAGUCUGGUGUGAAAGCCCAGGGCUCAGCUCUGGAAGUGCACUAGAAACUGGGAAGCUUGAGUACCGGAGGGGAGAGUGGAAUUCCUGGUGUAGCGGUGAAAUGCGUAGAUAUCAGGAGGAAUACCGGUGGCGAAAGCGACUCUCUGGACGGUUACUGACACUGAUGCACGAAAGCGUGGGGAUCAAACAGGAUUAGAUACCCUGGUAGUCCACGCCCUAAACGAUGGAUACUCGACAUACGCGAUAUACUGUGUGUGUCUGAGCGAAAGCAUUAAGUAUCCCACCUGGGAAGUACGAUCGCAAGAUUGAAACUCAAAGGAAUUGGCGGGGGUCCGCACAAGCGGUGGAGCAUGUGGUUUAAUUCGAUGAUACGCGAGGAACCUUACCUGGGCUAGAAUGUCACGCGACAGAGGGUGAAAGCUCUCCUUAUAGCAAUAUACGCGUGAUAAGGUGCUGCAUGGCUGUCGUCAGCUCGUGCCGUGAGGUGUUGGGUUAAGUCCCGCAACGAGCGCAACCCCCAUCACUAGUUGCCAUCAGGUAACGCUGGGAACUCUAGUGAAACUGCCGUCGUAAGACGUGAGGAAGGAGGGGAUGAUGUCAAGUCAUCAUGGCCUUUAUGCCCAGGGCUACACACGUGCUACAAUGGGGUGUACAAAGAGCAGCAACACGGUGACGUGAAGCCAAUCUCAAAAAACAUCUCUCAGUUCAGAUUGAAGUCUGCAACUCGACUUCAUGAAGCUGGAAUCGCUAGUAAUCGUAUAUCAGCAAUGAUACGGUG